rnacentral:rRNA from 1 species
AUCGAACGCUGGCGGCAGGCCUAACACAUGCAAGUCGAACGGUAACAGGAAGCAGCUUGCUGCUUUGCUGACGAGUGGCGGACGGGUGAGUAAUGUCUGGGAAACUGCCCGAUGGAGGGGGAUAACUACUGGAAACGGUAGCUAAUACCGCAUAACGUCGCAAGACCAAAGAGGGGGACCUUCGGGCCUCUUGCCAUCGGAUGUGCCCAGAUGGGAUUAGCUUGUUGGUGAGGUAACGGCUCACCAAGGCGACGAUCCCUAGCUGGUCUGAGAGGAUGACCAGCCACACUGGAACUGAGACACGGUCCAGACUCCUACGGGAGGCAGCAGUGGGGAAUAUUGCACAAUGGGCGCAGGCCUGAUGCAGCCAUGCCGCGUGUAUGAAGAAGGCCUUCGGGUUGUAAAGUACUUUCAGCGGGGAGGAAGGGGAUGUGGUUAAUAACCGCGUUCAUUGACGUUACCCGCAGAAGAAGCACCGGCUAACUCCGUGCCAGCCGCCGCCGUAACAC